GGGUAAGUGGUGUAUUUGGAGCAUGUGUAAUUUCGGCUUACAGGGAGAGAUAGUUUCCUUACCUU
rnacentral:tRNA from 1 species